AUACGGAGGGGACAAGCGUUAUUCGGAAUCACUGGGCGUAAAGCGCGCGCAGGCGGCCUGAUAAGUUGGAUGUGAAAGCCUACGGCUCAACCGUAGAACUGCAUCCAAAACUGUCAGGCUAGAGUGUGGGAGAGGAAGAUGGAAUUAGUUGUGUAGGGGUAAAAUCCGUAGAGAUAACUAGGAAUACCAAAAGCGAAGGCAAUCUUCUGGAACACUUCUGACGCUGAGGCGCGAAGGCGUGGGGAGCAAACAGGAGUAGAAACCCCAGUAGUCC
rnacentral:rRNA from 1 species